CGCUAUUUUCUCAUUCAGUAUCACUUUUUAGCGCACGGCUCGCAAUGAGCCUUUUCCCUAAGCCAGGUAAAUGAUUUACCUGGCUUUUUUUA
rnacentral:sRNA from 1 species